rnacentral:lncRNA from 1 species
GUAGCCUCUGUGAGAAGAAGCCUCAGUCCUGCAAGGGUAACUGGAAGGAAGGCUGUGUGCUCCAGGCCAGAGUAGCUCAAACACAUGGGUUUGGGCUGUUUGCUGGGAAUCAAGAGGCAGCUUCUUAGGAGAGGAGGCAAUUCCACAGAGAAUGAAGGGCUGUAAGAAGAAACUUCACAAAGGGCUGGCAUGCUCCCGACCUUUGGCAGAGCACUGACCUGUCCUCUGUCACCCUCCCCAACCCUGUUGGCCUCCUGUGUAGAUACAUUGGAAAUGAUAAAUGAAGUGGAACCACCUGCCUCUCGUGCUGGGGCUGGGACUGAGCCCAGCCCGAAGCAGCCUGUGGCCGAGGGGCUCCUCACUGCCCUGCAACCCUUCCUGUCAGAGUCACUGGUCAGCCAGGUUGGGGCCUGCUACC